UACAGAGGAUGCAAGCGUUAUCCGGAAUGAUUGGGCGUAAGCGUCUGUAGGUGGCUUUUAAGUCCGCCGUCAAAUCCCAGGGCUCAACUCUGGACAGGCGGUGGAACUACCAAGCUGGAGUACGGUAGGGCAGAGGGAAUUUCCGGUGGAGCGGUGAAAUGCGUAGAGAUCGGAAAGAACACCAACGGCGAAAGCACUCUGCUGGCCGACACUGACACUGAGAGACGAAAGCUAGGGGAGCGAAUGGG
rnacentral:rRNA from 1 species